UGUGACUCCUACGGGAGGCAUCAGUGGGGAAUAUUGCACAAUGGGCGCAAGCCUGAUGCAGCCAUGCCGCGUGUAUGAAGAAGGCCUUCGGGUUGUAAAGUACUUUCAGCAGUGAGGAAGGCGGGUACGUUAAUAGCGUAUUCGUUUGACGUUAGCUGCAGAAGAAGCACCGGCUAACUCCGUGCCAGCAGCCGCGGUAAUACGGAGGGUGCGAGCGUUAAUCGGAAUUACUGGGCGUAAAGCGCAUGCAGGUGGUUUGUUAAGUCAGAUGUGAAAGCCCCGGGGCUCAACCUCGGAAUUGCAUUUGAAACUGGCAGACUAGAGUACUGUAGAGGGGGUAGAAUUUCAGGUGUAGCGGUGAAAUGCGUAGAGAUCUGAAGGAAUACCGGUGGCGAAGGCGGCCCCCUGGACAGAUACUGACACUCAGAUGCGAAAGCGUGGGGAGCAAACAGGAUUAGAUACCCUGGUAG
rnacentral:rRNA from 1 species